AUUGAACGCUGGCGGCAUGCCUUACACAUGCAAGUCGAACGGCAGCACGGGAGCAAUCCUGGUGGCGAGUGGCGAACGGGUGAGUAAUAUAUCGGAACGUGCCCAGUAGUGGGGGAUACCUGCUCGAAAGAGCCGCUAAUACCGCGUACGACCUGAGGGUGAAAGCGGGGGAUCGCAAGACCUCGCGCUAUUGGAGCGGCCGAUAUCAGAUUAGCUAGUUGGUGGGGUAAAAGCUCACCAAGGCGACGAUCUGUAGCUGGUCUGAGAGGACGACCAGCCACACUGGGACUGAGACACGGCCCAGACUCCUACGGGAGGCAGCAGUGGGGAAUUUUGGACAAUGGGCGCAAGCCUGAUCCAGCCAUGCCGCGUGCGGGAAGAAGGCCUUCGGGUUGUAAACCGCUUUUGUCAGGGAAGAAACGGCUCCUACUAAUACUGGGGGCUAAUGACGGUACCUGAAGAAUAAGCACCGGCUAACUACGUGCCAGCAGCCGCGGUAA
rnacentral:rRNA from 1 species